UUUGCUAUUCGUGAUUUUCUAAAUAUUUUUUUUAAUUGGGAAUGGAAUUAUCUUUUAAAAAUAUCUUCAAAAUAUUAAUUUAAAAUUAACUCUACUUACUUUUAUUUUUUUAAGAAUUUCAGAGAAGAAGAAAUUACAUGUUUACCACUUUCAUGGUACCACUUUUCAUUUUUACCACCAGUAAUGAGACAUUUUCAAAAAUACCUUCUUCAUUAAGUGGCAAAAGACUCUUAUGCCCUUGUUAUUUAUAUAUAUAAUAAAACAUUAUUUAAAUAAAAUAAAAAAAUAAAAAAAAAAUAAAAAAAUGUAAAGUUUUUUUUUCAAUUUUUUUUCGAUUUUUUUUUUAUUUUUUUUUCAAUUUGUUUUUUGAAAACGAAAAUUAUGUUUGAAACUAUUUUUUAAAAUUUUUUAUAUAUUUUUUAAGUAUUUAUUUAUAUAUUUAUUAGAAUCAUAAAUUUUAUAUUCUAAAAACCCUACCCCACCCCUCAACUCUAAACCCUAAGUCUAGAUUAGUUAACCCUAAGGGUAUAAUUGUAUUUUACCCUUCAUUAAAAGUGAGGGUAAAAGUGGUUAGUGUAAACAUGAAAAGUGGUACUAUGAAUGUGGUAUUUGUGGCAAUUUCC
rnacentral:lncRNA from 1 species